rnacentral:rRNA from 1 species
UACGUAGGCAGCAAGCGUUGUUCGGAGUUACUGGGCGUAAAGGGUGUGUAGGCGGUCUUCUAAGUCUGGUGUGAAAUCUCCCGGCCCAACUGGGAGGGUGCGCCGAAAACUGGAAGGCUAGAGUGCGGGAUGGGAGAGUGGAAUUCCUGGUGUAGCGGUGAAAUGCGUAGAUAUCAGGAGGAACACCUGUGGUGUAGACGGCUCUCUGGACCGCAACUGACGCUGAGACACGAAAGCGUGGGUAGCAAACAGG